UCAGACGAUGCGUCAUGCAUAUCAAUAAGCGGAGGAAAAGAAACUAACAAGGAUUCCCCUAGUAACGGCGAGUGAAGCGGGAAGAGCUCAAAUUUGAAAUCUUAAAGGGUUUCCCUUUACGAAUUGUAGUUUAAAGAAGUGUUUUCUGUUGAGGUUUUGGUAAAAGUUCUUUGGAAUAGGACAUCAUAGAGGGUGAGAAUCCCGUAUUUGACCUUUACUUUCAACUUUGUGAUACACUUUCAAAGAGUCGGAUUGUUUGGGAAUGCAGUCCAAAGUGGGUGGUAAAUUUCAUCUAAAGCUAAAUAUUGGCGAGAGACCGAUAGCGAACAAGUACCGUGAGGGAAAGAUGAAAAGAACUUUGAAAAGAGAGUUAAACAGUACGUGAAAUUGUCAAAAGGGAAGCGUUUGACACCAGUGUUGUUUUUCUGAAAAUCAAUUAAAGAACUGUUUAUGCUAAGUUGUUUAGACUUUAUCAGCUAUCUGUUUAGUUUUGAGCUUUUCUUUAAUGCACUUUUCAGUUAACAAGUCAACAUCAAUUUCUUUUGCUGUAAAAAAGCUUGAGGAAGGUGGCUUGAGAUUCGUCUUAAGUGUUUAUAGCCUCUUGCCUAUGCAGUCGGAGAGAUUGAGGUCUGCAGCGUAGAUCCUUCGGGGCUAAAUGCAUUUGUGCUAAGUUAUAGCAUUUUAUAGACAACUUGUUGACUAUGAUUUGUCUUGUAGCUUACUCGCUUAUGUUAUUUUACCUACGCUUAGGAUGUUGAAUCUGUGCGAGACUAC
rnacentral:rRNA from 1 species